AUUGAACGCUGGCGGCAUGCUUUACACAUGCAAGUCGAACGGUAACAGGCCGCAAGGUGCUGACGAGUGGCGAACGGGUGAGUAAUGCAUCGGAACGUGCCCAGUCGUGGGGGAUAACUACUCGAAAGAGUAGCUAAUACCGCAUACGAUCUAUGGAUGAAAGCGGGGGACCGUAAGGCCUCGCGCGAUUGGAGCGGCCGAUGUCAGAUUAGGUAGUUGGUGGGGUAAAGGCUCACCAAGCCAACGAUCUGUAGGUGGUCUGAGAGGACGACCAGCCACACUGGGACUGAGACACGGCCCAGACUCCUACGGGAGGCAGCAGUGGGGAAUUUUGGACAAUGGGCGCAAGCCUGAUCCAGCAAUGCCGCGUGCAGGAAGAAGGCCUUCGGGUUGUAAACUGCUUUUGUACGGAACGAAACGGCUCUGGUUAAUACCCGGGGCUAAUGACGGUACCGUAAGAAUAAGCACCGGCUAACUACGUG
rnacentral:rRNA from 1 species